rnacentral:rRNA from 1 species
GACAGAGGGUGCAAACGUUGUUCGGAAUUACUGGGCGUAAAGCGUGUGUAGGCGGCUACAUAAGUCGGAUGUGAAAGCCCCGGGCUCAACCCGGGAAGUGCACUCGAUACUGCGUAGCUUGAGUCUCGGAGAGGUUGGUGGAAUUCUCGGUGUAGAGGUGAAAUUCGUAGAUAUCGAGAGGAACACCGGUGGCGAAGGCGGCCAACUGGACGAAGACUGACGCUGAGAUACGAAAGCGUGGGGAGCAAACGGG